CCAGGAAGUAAAAUAUUUACAGCAAGAUACAAAAAUUUAUAUGUAUUAACAACAAAACAUAAAAUAACAGGAAAAAAUAAGAUUAACAAAAUAUGCAUAGAAAGUUCAUGCGAACAAAUUGUAAAAACAAUAGAUUAUAAUGAUUAUAGCUAUAGAGACAUAGAUAUAGAAGAAAAUUUAGAAAUAAUAAAUGAUAGAAUAAGUACAA
rnacentral:lncRNA from 1 species